UUGAAGUUAGCUUCCGAUUGUAGCUUCCAGGGUUCUCCGGAAGUGACCCAGACUAAGCAGGGAAUCCUCCAUUGGACGAGCCGUCUGGACAUUUGGCCGGAGAUCAUACAUCCACCGCCAUGCUGAGAAGAACUCCCUUGAUGGGAUUUUGGAUUGGAAGAUGGUGGAAGGUGUUGAAUUGGAGUUGUUGCUGAAACCAACUUAACACAAAAAUGAUGUCGCAGACAUGGGACCUGAGCCUGGGAACCAGCAGUAGGAGAGUUCACUUUAAGUGCUGUUAGCAAGUUCCACUUCAUGCAGUUGUGCCGACCAGGUCACGGAGGGAGGCAUGACUUGUGUGUACCUGUCAGAGAUCCAACUGAGGGACCCAUCUGGCAUCGCCGAAGUACAGACACAGCACAUAGACACAAACAAGACCUUUCUCAAAUGGCGUAAAGGUAAUUAUUGCCCUUGCUCCUGUUUGCAGGCUCUUCUUACCAGUAAUCAUACUGUAUGUCACAUGCUGUACUGCAUUACAUGGUAUAGUUGCCU